rnacentral:pre_miRNA from 1 species
GCAUAUUUACCCUGUAGAACCGAGCGAGUGAUGUAACUUAAACACUGUUCGAUUCUGAGGGUCAAUGAGAC